rfam:Apaloderma vittatum contig27554, whole genome shotgun sequence.
ACAAAGGCUCUUUUCAGAGCCAAUAAAAUAAAAUAAAACUGCCCAG